rnacentral:rRNA from 1 species
GAUCAUGGCUCAGGAUGAACGCUAGCUAUAGGCUUAACACAUGCAAGCCGAGGGGCAGCGGGAUUGAAGCUUGCUUCAAUUGCCGGCGACCGGCGCACGGGUGAGUAACGCGUAUCCAACCUUCCGUACACUCAGGGAUAGCCUUUCGAAAGAAAGAUUAAUACCUGAUGGUAUCUUAAGCACACAUGUAAUUAAGAUUAAAGAUUUAUCGGUGUACGAUGGGGAUGCGUUCCAUUAGGUAA